rnacentral:misc_RNA from 1 species
UCCGGUUUAUCACCGGCAGUUUCCUUAAAGUGCCCGGCAUUACCCGCUGGUAACUAAGGAUAAGGGUUGCGCUCGUUGCGGGACUUAACCCAACAUCUCACGACACGAGCUGACGACAGCCAUGCAACACCUGUGAUAGUCCAGCCGAGCUGACCAACUAGUCUCCUAGUCGUACGACUACCAUGUCAAGACCUGGUAAGGUUUUUCGCGUAUCAUCGAAUUAAACCACAUGUUCCACCGCUUGUGCGGGUCCCCGUCAAUUCCUUUGAGUUUUAAUCUUGCGACCGUACUUCCCAGGCGGAGUGCUUAACGCGUUAGCUGUAACACCGAGAUCUAAGUCCCGAUAUUUAGCACUCAUCGUUUACUGCGUGGACUAC